rnacentral:lncRNA from 1 species
CUUCAUUCCUUAUUCCUCCCCCCCCUCCCUUUUCCCCGGGGCAUGGAGGGCGCGGGGGGCGGCGGGGCCCCCCCGGGGGGUUCGGACCCCCCCGACCGUGCUGUCGAAUACCUGCUGGAGUUGAACCGGAUUAUCGCGACUCAACGACAUCUCUUGGCCUCGCAGCGCCGCCGCAUCGCCCAGCUCGAGGGGCAGCUCCAGCGCCUGGCCCGGGAAAACCGGCACCUGCGGCAGAGGGCGGGGGGGGCGCCCGCCCCCCCCCGGCACCAGGGCCACGCGGACCCCGACGGUCAAUACCAAAACCACUUGGACCCGGAGGGGCAAUUCCCACCCUGCGCCGAUCCCGACCUGCCCUACGCGCCCCAUCCCGACCACGACGGGCAAUACCCGCCCCAUCCGGACCGGGACCUCCCCUACCAGGGACACGUCGACCACGACGGGCAAUAUAGCGGCCAUACAGACCGCGACGGCCAAUACCCACCCCACUUGGAUCGCGACGGGCAAUACCAGGAGCAUCUGGAUCGCGACGGGCAAUACCAGGAGCACUUGGAUCGCGACGGGCAAUACGCCGGGCGUACGGACCGGGAUAGACCCUACGCGGCUCAUCUGGAUCGCGAUGGGCAAUAUGAGGCGUUAACGGACCGCGAUGGGCCGUAUCCCAACCGUGCUGAUCACGAUAGGGCCUACCAGAGCCGUAAGGAUCGCGACAGACCUUACCAGGCCCGUACGGAGCGGGAUGGGCAAUAUAUGAGCCGUACGGAGCGGGAUGGGCAAUAUACGGGUCGUAUGGACCAGGAUGGGCAGUAUCAUGGCUGCUUGGAGCGGGAUCUCCAGUACCAGCCCCACUUGGACCUGAGCCGUAUGGAGCGCGACGGGCAGUAUCCGAGCCAUACGGACCGGGAUGGGCAAUAUCCGAGCCGUAUGGAGCGGGAUGGGCAAUAUCCGAGCCAUACGGACCGUGAUGGGCAGUACACGAGCCGUAUGGAGCGGGAUGGGCAAUACACGAGCCGUAUAGACCCGGAUGGGCAAUACACGAGCCGUAUGGAGCGGGAUGGGCAGUACCAGAGCCACGUGGAGCGGGAGCUGCAGUACCGAGGCCGGGAUGGGCAUUAUCCGCCCUGUCUGGACCGGGAAGGGCCGUAUCCUGCCCCGUGCUCCAGGGAUCGUUGCGGCGCUUCCCAUCAUCACCAUCACCAUCACCACGGCCGGGAUUGGGAGCGGGAUUGGCCGCGGGGGCCCCUCAGCCGCAGCUCCAGCCCCGGGGGGGGAGGACACAGCACCAGCGCCAGCACCAGCCCCGCCACCACCCUGCAGCGCAAGUAAGGACCCCCCCCCCCCCCGGGG